AAGUCCUCUUGUAUCACCAAUACUGACUCAUUUCCAGCACAGAGGUUGCUGGCAGACGUCUGGCUGAGCAGAGCCCCCUGGUGAUCCUCUACCAGAUGGUGCAGGAGUUCACGGUCCAGCUGCAGAGGGAGACACUGCAGGUUGCUGGCAGACAUCUAGCUGAGCAGAGCCCCCUGGUGAUCCUCUACCAGAUGGUGCAGGAGUUCACCGUCCAGCCGCAGAGGGAGACACUGCAGGUGAUUCAGGACAAGGAGAAAGCCGAGUCCCUGCUCAAAGAGGAGUCUGGCAUCAGAGCCAAGAGAAUCAAACGAAAUUUCCACCACAAUUUGGCGACGAGGGAUGGGAUCACUUCUGUGAGAGAGCGCCUUAAACUGCAGACGGUUCAAAGGGUACGCGGGAGCUCGGACUCCAAAACCUCAACCUCGCCAUCAAAGGAGCAGAGACGUGAGGGCCUGACGCCUGAGACAAGGUGGCUCGCUCACAGCUGUGAUCUACAGAACCAUGUGGAAACUGUCUUCUCGUGUCUCAAACUAGAUCCCGAUCUGGACUCGGCUCUGGCUAAGUCGUCUGCACCAUCUGCACCACCUGCACCGUCUGCACGCCACAAGAGGACUCCAGGGCCACCGGACGUGAACUGGGAACCAGCAGCUGGGAUGUCCUCCGCGCCGCCCGCCUUCCUAUGACACCCACCACCCGUCGUACGGUGAGAAUUCCACCCAGGGCGGGCCAGAGCGAGGCGAUCGCUGGUGGUUGAGAGCCUAAACACACCACCACCAUAUGCCACCGUCAGCCACAGCCCUCACCACACACGGAGCAACUCUGUGUACAACUUCCAGGCUCACAUGGUGGAGGUGGCUGGGAGUGAGGGUCGAGUGCAGCUGGUUUAUAGGCCUUGGACAUACAGUGACAUGAAGGACGCUGCCGCAUCACUUCCAGACAUCCGCAAUGGGGGAGCGGAGUUUGCGGUUCAGCUCAUAACCUUUUGCCGACAGUUCAAGCCCACCACUGCUGAACUGCAACGCCUGCUGAUGGUUCAGAUGGGUACAACAUGGGCCCGAGUUGCGGGCGACUACCCCGUGGAGGACAUUAGGGUAGAGAACUCUGACUGGGCCAGUGACGACAAUUUGGCAUACAGAGACAUCAGUGGAGGACUAUGUUACAGAAUCAGACAGACCUUCCCUCUGAAAUUAGACAUGGGGAAGAUUUCUGCCUGCAAACAACGUGACAAUGAACUCUUAGUGGACUAUCUGGUCAGACUCACUGCAGUCCAUGCCACACACAGUGGCCUCAUGAAGCCCCGAGUCAUGGGAGGCAUCCAUGAAGUCACUCCCUGGGAGGCCCAGCUAUGGGACCGCUUCAUGAAUGGCAAGAAGCCGUUGAGGAACGGGCCAACCACACGGAAAAGUUCCUCAACGACGAAAAGAACCGAAAAGCGACAGGCUUGACAGAAAGACUCCAACUGGCUCAGUUGGCAUGCUACAAGCACCAAGCGAGGGGUCGCGAACGCCGACGAGGACGAGGAAAGGGACGCCGGGGCAGAUUCAAAAAACGCCCUGGCGUCUGUCAUAGAUGUGGAAAAAUGGGACAUUGGCAAGACAACUGCCCAGAGAACGACGCAACGGACGACUGACUAGCUGAGGAGCCGAGUACAGUGACGGACGAAUCUGGUUUUGACGCACAGGCUGGGGAGGAGAAGCAACCUAUGCAUCUUUCACGUGAGAGCACCAACACUGACACACACACACCACAAACCCUAAACCCUACACCGAAGAUGAGUGCACGCUAUCUUAAAACAGUAGGAGUUUCAGGCUCCCCAAUGACAGAAAGGUACACUACUCCACUUGCAUGCGAAGAUGAGCUACAGGGCCGUUUUAAACACUCUUUCCUGCUUUCUAAACACUGUCCCGUGAAUCUCAUGGGGAGAGAUCUGAUGUGUGCUUUGGGUAUCGGUUUAAGAUCGACUCCGGAGGGGUUAGUGGUGGUUAGGGAAGCAGCCACAUUCGUGAAGUAUGGUAAAGAAGAUCUUUUUUACUCAUAUCACUGGCAGCUCCCCCUCACAGCUCUUGAUUCUGUAAAUCACACCCUCCUGCAGACAGCCAGAGCAUGCACAGCGCACACACGCAGACAUGGUGAGAGCACAAGACCUUCAGUGCACAGCACACAUCUCCCUCGGUCCUGAUACGAGCUUUGAAAAAAACUGGUGCAGGGAGAGACACGGACAAGAUAAACUGAGGCUUGAGUGGUUGUAUUGGAACGACAAAAUCUGUGUUGCUUCUGUAACCUUGAUGGAUUCCCACUCGCAGCGUUUGUUCUCGGUACCGAACUCUGACCCUCACAUUCCAUUGAUCAAACCAAAGGGGAAAGGGUGGCAGGAAUUGGGACCAUGGACCAGGGCAUGCAAUGGUGCAACAGGUUGGACACAGAUGUCCGAUCCACAUGUUGAGUAUCACCGCAGUUUGAGAACAUACAGAAAAAGGCUUUCAGCUGUAGUAACUGCAGUACGAUCUGUCGAGCUCAUACCUGACACAAAAGGGGAUUUCUCAAAAUUUGUCAGGACAAAUAAGGGUUGUUUUGAUUCUUUUGAUGCUUGUCAUGAAAGAUUUUUUGUUGAUGACGUCACUGAGGUACCAGAGUUCCGAGUCACCAACAAUUUUUAACGCAGCACUGCACGACAAUUUGGAUUCUUUAAAGCUGCCCAGCAAUAGUGCACUGUUGACUUAUGUGGAUGAUCUGUUGAUUUGCUCUCCUACCAGAGAAGCCUGUGUAGCAGACACAGUGGCCUUGCUCUCCCAUUUGGCUGAUAACGGACACAAAGCAAGCCCGUCAAAGCUGCAGUUUGUCUGUGAGAAAGUUGUUUUCCUAGGUCAUGUGAUCACAAGGGAAGGGAAGAUUCUCUCUCCCUCCAGAAUAGCUGCAAUCCAGUCUAUUCUGAGGCCUCUCACCAAAAAGCAAGUAAUGAGUUUUUGGGUAUGACGUCAUAUUGCAGACAAUGGAUCCUGAACAACGCAGAAAUAGAGGCACCAUUGGCAGCAAUCGCCCAUGGGAAAGGCCUCAAUGUGAACGACAAAGUUGAGUGGACGACUGACGCUGACAAAGCAUUCACUGACCUCAAACUGGCCCUGCAGUCUCCCCCGACUCUGGGCCUGCCCGACUGCUCACGACCUUUCACCCAGACAGUCGACGAAAAGGGUCAAGGACGCUCUGCCUGCCCCAGCAGCCCACAAACUGCAUGAUUUGGAGCCAGGGGAUUGGGUCGUCAUUCGGGAUCUCAGGAGAAAGAACUGGAGAGCUCGCAGAUGGAACGGGCCAUUCCAAGUGCUUCUGACCACGGAGACGGCAGUGAAGAUCACAGAGAGAGCCACCUGGGUUCACGCCAGCCACUGCAAACGGGUUCCAGAGCCAGCAGACGACACUUCACAGAGUGUGCUUAUUGUAGAAUAAUCAUGACUGAUGUUUGAGCAUGUCUUUUGAGCUGUGAAAAGAAUCUGUUUUCCAAGCUGACUUGAUUUUUUUUUAUCCUUCACUAUUACUUACGAAGGAAUUUUUUUUAAUCUAGUCUGUAGUGAGCAUAGUAUGCUCAAAGAGAGGAAUUGUGAUGGAAAAAUUCCUUUUCAUUAUGGGUUGAUGAAUUUUGAACUAUUUUGUUGAAUCAAAUGUAUGAACACCUAACCUCUGCCCUAUAUGAUUGUAAUAGAGUCACGAACCAGCCAAAACU